AGUUACGUGCUUGGGCGAGAGUAGUACUAAGAUGGGUGACCUAUUGGGAAGUCCUCGUGUUGCACCCC
rfam:Ricinus communis cultivar Hale ctg_1100012319333, whole genome shotgun sequence.